UUUGUACCAAAUUUAUAUAUUUUCUUUCUUCCUUUUUUAUUUACUUGUAUCAUUUUAAUCUAUACUUUGGUACUUCAGCCUUUUGGUACUUCAGCUUUUCUCCUCUAAGAAAUAAGAAAUUUCUCCUCUAAGAAAUAAGUUUCAAUGUUUUCCUUGUCUUAAGCUUUGAAAAAAGACCUGACUGUUGAAACUCUAUGCUGAGAAAAAUGCCUUCGGACACUGUGUUCCAACACAGGUAUUGCAGUCUAUUUCUCCUACCCUGUUGGCAAGCCAUAUUGUUUUCAUGUAGAGCUUCUGUCUCUUUCUUUGGCUAAAGUACACCAAUGGAGCAAAAGGGAGGAAGUAUCUUGAAAUCAGGUGUCCCAUGUCUACAAAAUCCCAUAAAGACAACUAGCAUUGAGAUCCAAUGCUUUCAGGCAGACCUGAGGUUGAUCUUGCCUUCACACUGUAUUAUUAGGACUUGCUUCCUGCCAGGCUGCACAUGAGACAAACUCCUCUGAUGAAAGUCAGGGAUAUAACUUCAGCCCUGAGACUUCACUGAAGAGCCAUGAGGGUGAAGGGAAAAGCAGAGAGAUGGGAUUGUAACUAUUUUGAUAUUUGAUAUUGCUACUUGGCAAUGAGGAAAGGGACACUGUGUACAUGCUUUGGCAUGCGCAAUCUGCAUUUCAUAUUUUAGCAUAACAUUCCCAUACUAGAUCCUAUAGGCAUGCUAUAAUGCAAGACUGUAGCCCUUACUACCUGUAAUUCCCACAGAAAUCAAUUAAACGUAAGGAUGGAUGACAAGAUAAAGAUUGUGCCAUUGGGUAUUAUUUGUAUGGGGAUAAAAUCUGAGAUUCACUUGGAUAAAACAAAUGAGAAUUUGAAGAAUCCUGGACAUUGAGAAAAAUUGAAAGAAUAUGAGUGUGAUUUCUCUCAAAUAUUUACAUUGUUAGCUGUUUGGAGACAAACAGCAGGGCAGCUUUUAUAAAUCUUUUCACUUUGUCAAGUUGUGAAUGAAAGCUGGAAAUAUAGAUAGGGCAUUUUCCUCUUAAAUUUUGAGCUAAUUAGCAAAGGUAUUGGAGUUAAGUUUGUGUGUUUGUUUGCUUGUUUUAGUAACGCUUUUUCAAUGAGAGAGAGGCACAAAAAAAAGAGUUUAGUACUCCUUAGUGAAUAAAAGUUUUUGGAGACAAAAUGAAAUGUAUAGAUCCCUUUACAUUUUAAUAUCCAGAUAUGGGAAGCUGGGCCUAGCAACAGAAAUGUGAGGUGAAAUUCCUAAACCAAUACUUAAGGAAUUUCUGUAUUAUAAUUGUGGCUAAAGAAUUUAAGUGAUGAAUAUGGCUACUUUCACAUGCUUGGAUAGUCACUACGUUUCUUUUGGUUUGUUUGCUUGGUUUUGUUUUAAAGAAGACAUUAAACACUCUACAUUCAUAAAGAAGGAGCUACAAAAAUGUGCAAUAUUUCAAACACAUACAUUAAACUCUUUCCAUGAUGAAGAUCUUCACAACAUUUUGUGGCAUUUCCUGUGAUGAUAAAAUAGUUUUCUGGAAGAUACAGGAUUCAUGCCUUACUUUUUAAUGCUGUUACUAAAGAUAAAUAAACUGAA